GUUUGUAUUUAGGGGUUUACUGUAAAAUAAGGUAACCCAAACCAAAAAAUAUGGUAGCCCAUAUAUAUACCCGUUGUGACCCAUAAAAGCCCUAGAUAAGUACGAUCUGGGCCCCAUCAUUAACCCAUGUGGAUCCUAAAUGGGAACUACCUGGGCUACCCAUAUGGGCUUGAUAUGGAGCCCACCAAGAGCCCAUCAUCAACCCAUCUGGGCUAACCCAUGUGGGGCCACCAUGGAAACUGAGGACAAAAUUAGCUGGGUCCCAGUUGGGUUGCCCAGGUGGGCCCCAGAUAUCAGCCCAGGUGCAACCCCUUUGGGCCCCACAUGGGUGUGAGUAGACGCGCAAUGAACUUGAAGCGCAGAUGGCGUGACCGCGCUACUCUGAAACGCAGAUGGCGUGACUGCAGUUGAAGGAAAGCAACAGCAUGCUGCUCAGUGAUUCUUUUAAUCUUGUUUGUCACAUUUUCAUAUUGGUUGGAAGCCAAAUCGAAACCGAAACUAAAAUCUGAUUCGUACAGCUCCGCUGCUAACUCACGAUGAAUUUGAGUAGAUUUCCCCGCGAGCUCUUCAGGAGAACACAAGACAAGUCUUUCAGCGUUUUUCUUCCGAUUUAGAUUUAAAGGUGUUAUUGUUAAAAUGGCGACAGUAGCAGCAGGUAGACGUAGUCCAUUAUUUGAUCGUCCUGACAUGAGUGAUCUGAGGAUUGUGCUGAUAGGAAAGAAUGGAUCAGAAAACAGGCGAGUGGCAAACACUAUACUGGGAAGAGCAGUGUUUGACAGUGAAGCUCCAUCUCAUUCACAGCAGCACAGUGACAGAAUCAGUGGAGAGCUGGAGGGGAGAUACAUCACAGUCUACAAUCCUCACCUGCUCCAGCCAAAUUUCCCACAGGGAGUGAUAAUAGAUGGAGUGAGAGACUGUGUGUCUCAUUCUGAUCCAGGACCUCAUGUGUUUGUACUCGUUCUGCAGAAUAACAACUUCAAUGAGAACGACAGACACAGAGUGAAAUAUGUACUGAACCUCUUCAGUUACUAGGCCUUGAAACACACUAUAGUGCUGACUACUGAUGAUGUGCCACGCAGAUCAAUAUUCACUUCUAGGAAUAACUCUAUUCAUGAUUUAAUAAAGGAGUGUGGAGGAGGACAUCUGAAGUUUAAUACAGUAAGCACAGGAUGGCGCUUUGAGAUUUUCAGAAGGACAGAAGAGAUACUCAAGAAAGAAAGAAUAGAAUUUCUCAUCUGUGACAAUAAUGAGGAUGAAGAUCUGAGAAGAUCUGGGGCUUCCGUCAGAGAAGAAGACAAAAAAAGAGCAUUCUGAUCUAAAAGAGAGCACAAAAACAGCAAGUGAUGGAGGAGUGGGGACUACUGGGAAAGCAAAGCUGAACAUCGUGCUGUGUGGAAAUAACUCAACACUCAAGAACUCAGUGUCUAAAAUCUUUAGAGGCAAAAUAAGUCAACCUCAGAAAGAGAUGAGUAAUGUAUGUGUAAAGAAAGAGGGAAUGAUUCAUGGACAGAUCUCUCAGAGGAGGAAGUGAUGCGCCAGACUCACCGCUGUGUGUCUCUCUGUCACCCUGGAGUUCAUGUGUUCAUCCUCAUCAUUCCUGAUGCUCCACUAACUGAUGAAGACAGAGCAGAGAUAGAAGAGAUCCAGAGGAUCUUCAGCUCAAGAAUCAACAAACACAUCAUGAUCCUCAUAAAGCAGGAUUCAGAGCAUCAGACAGCAGAACUAAAUGAAGAAACACAGUCUGUCACUGAGAGAUUUGGAGGACAUCAUUUCAUUGACCUGAACACACACGUGUCUGUGUUGAUGGAUAAAUUGGAGCAGAUGGUUGAGGAAAAUAGUGGUGUUUAUUUCUCAACAGAGACACUGAUGGAGGCACAGAUGGAGAAACUGCUGAAAUGAAGAGGAGAAUCUGUUCAUUAGAGAUGUUUCUUUAGUUAUAAGGCUCUGUGAGCUGAGCAGAGAGCAAGAUGAAGAUCCGGUGUGUGAUGCUGGCGUGUGCACUGACGCUGAGCUGCGUGUCCUCCGUCCCGAACCCAACCAGACACUCUCACCAUUCACAAACACACGCUCAGUGUUCUCAAAGACUACAGGACCUAGAGAGAAA
ensembl:lncRNA